GUCUUUGGCUCUCCAUGGGGAUCUAUUGGGUCUCUAUGGGGUUCUAUGGGGUCUCUAUGGGGUUCUAUGGGGUCUCUUUGGUUCUCCAUGGGGAUCUAUUGGGUCUCUAUGGGGUCCCUAUGGGCUCUAUGGAAUCUCUAUGGGAUUCUGUGGGGUCUCUAUGGGGUCUCUGGUUCUCCAUGGGGAUCUAUGGGGUCUCUAUGGGGUCCCUAUGGGGUCUCUAUGGUUCUCCAUGGUUCUCCAUGGAUCUGUUGGGUCUCUAUGGAGUCUCUCUAUGGAAUCUCAUGGGAUUCUGCGUUGGGGGUCCCUACUGGGCUCUAUGGAGUCUCUAUG
rnacentral:lncRNA from 1 species